CCUACGGGUGGCAGCAGUGAGGAAUAUUGGUCAAUGGGCGGGAGCCUGAACCAGCCAAGUCGCGUGAGGGAUGACGGCCCUAUGGGUUGUAAACCUCUGUUGCCGGGGAGCAAAGAGCCGCACGGUUGGGGGUUGGAGAGUACCGGGAGAAAAAGCAUCGGCCAACUACGGGCCAGCAGCCGCGGUAAUACGGAGGAGGAGAGCGUUAUCCGGAUUUAUUGGGUGUAAAGGGUGCGUAGGCGGACGCAUAAGUCAGCGGUAAAAUUGCGGGGCUCAACCUCGGCGAGCCGUUGAAACUGGGUGCCUUGAGUGGGCGAGAAGUACGCGGAAUGCGUGGUGUAGCGGUGAAAUGCAUAGAUAUCACGCAGAACUCCGAUUGCGAAGGCAGCGUACCGGCGCCCAACUGACGCUGAAGCACGAAGGCGUGGGUAUCGAACAGGAUUAGAUACCCGAGUAGUC
rnacentral:rRNA from 1 species